GCUGUGAUGGCUGAGUGGUUAAGGCGUUGGAGUCAAUAUCCAAUAGGGUCCCCUUGUGCAGGUUCAAAUCCUGCUCGCAGUG